CCUACGGGUGGCAGCAGUCGAGAAUCAUUCACAAUGGGGGAAACCCUGAUGGUGCGACGCCGCGUGGGGGAAUGAAGGUCUUCGGAUUGUAAACCCCUGUCAUGUGGGAGCAAAUUAAAAAGAUAGUACCACAAGAGGAAGAGACGGCUAACUCUGUGGCAGCAGCCCGGGUAAUACAGAGGUCUCAAGCGUUGUUCGGAAACACUGGGCGUAAAGGGUGCGUAGGCUGUUUCGUAAGUCGUGUGUGAAAGGCGCGGGCUCAACCCGCGGACGGCACAAGAUACUGCGAGACUAGAGUAAGAGAGAGGGAAGCGGAAUUAUAGGUGUAGCAGUGAAAUGCGUAGAUAUAGAGAGGAACACUCGUGGCGAAGGCGGGUUCCUGGACAUUAACUGACGCUGAGGCACGAAGGCCAGGGGAGCGAAAGGGAUUAGAUACCCUGGUAGUC
rnacentral:rRNA from 1 species